UGGGGCCUACGGGGCGCAGCAGUGGGGAAUAUUGGACAAUGGGGGGAACCCUGAUCCAGCGACGCCGCGUGAGUGAAGAAGUAUUUCGGUAUGUAAAGCUCUAUCAGCAGGGAAGAAAGAAAUGACGGUACCUGACUAAGAAGCCCCGGCUAACUACGUGCCAGCAGCCGCGGUAAUACGUAGGGGGCAAGCGUUAUCCGGAUUUACUGGGGGUAAAGGGAGCGUAGACGGCU
rnacentral:rRNA from 1 species